CCUAGGGAGGCUGCAGUGGGGAAUAUUGGACAAUGGGCGAAAGCCUGAUCCAGCCAUGCCGCGUGUGUGAAGAAGGCCUUCGGGUUGUAAAGCACUUUCAGUGGGGAAGAAAGCCUUGGGGCUAAUACCCUCGAGGAAGGACAUCACCCACAGAAGAAGCACCGGCUAACUCCGUGCCAGCAGCCGCGGUAAUACGGAGGGUGCGAGCGUUAAUCGGAAUUACUGGGCGUAAAGCGCGCGUAGGCGGUCUGAUAAGCCGGUUGUGAAAGCCCCGGGCUCAACCUGGGAACGGCAUCCGGAACUGUCAGGCUAGAGUGCAGGAGAGGAAGGUAGAAUUCCCGGUGUAGCGGUGAAAUGCGUAGAGAUCGGGAGGAAUACCAGUGGCGAAGGCGGCCUUCUGGACUGACACUGACGCUGAGGUGCGAAAGCGUGGGUAGCAAACAGGAUUAGAUACCCUUGUAGUC
rnacentral:rRNA from 1 species